UACAGAGGGCCCGAGCGUUGUUCGGAUUCAUUGGGCGUAAAGGGUGCGUAGGCGGCGGGGUAAGUUUGCUGUGAAAUCCCGGGGCUCAACCCUGGAAUUGCAUUGAAUACUACCUUGCUAGAGUACCGGAGAGGAAACUGGAAUUUACGGUGUAGCAGUGAAAUGCGUAGAGAUCGUAAGGAAGACCAGUGGCGAAGGCGAGUUUCUGGACGGUAACUGACGCUGAGGCACGAAGGCCAGGGGAGCAAACGGG
rnacentral:rRNA from 1 species